rnacentral:lncRNA from 1 species
GUUCUGCUUUACUGCUGGAUCGGGGUGACUGGUGUUUGGUGGCCUCUUCACGUUCAAUAAAGUCAAAAUGCAGAUCUUUAUGAAGACCCUGACUGGCAAGACUAUCACCCCGGAGAUGGAGCUCAGUGACACCAUUGAGAAUGUGAAGGCUAAGAUCCAGGAUAAAGAAGGCAUUCCUCCUGACCAGCAGAGGCUCAUCUUUGCAGGCAAGCUGCUGGAAGAUGGCCCCACUCUUUCUGACUACAACAUCCAGAAAGAGUCCAUCCUGCACCUGGUCCUUCCUCUGAAGGGUGGCUGUUAAUUGUUCUGUCUGCAUUUAUGGUGCGCAGUGAUAGUAUUAUGCUGCACAUAGCCAUUUGCUCCAAUAUAAGUUUAGAAAUUACCAGUUUCAGUAAUAGCUGAACUUGUCCAAAAUGUUAAUAAAGUUUUGUUGCAUGGUAGGAAAAAAAAAGAAAAAAGCUUUGGUGUUUUAGAACUUGGG